GAUGAAGAACGCAGCAAAAUGCGAUAAGUAAUGUGAAUUGCAGAAUUCAGUGAAUCAUCGAAUCUUUGAACGCACAUUGCGCCCGCUGGUAUUCCGGCGGGCAUGCGUGUUCGAGCGUCAUUUCAACCCUCAAGCCCCCGGGUUUGGUGUUGGGGAUCGGCUCUGCCCUUCUGGGCGGUGCCGCCCCCGAAAUACAUUGGCGGUCUCGCUGCAGCCUCCAUUGCGUAGUAGCUAACACCUCGCAACUGGAACGCGGCGCGGCCAUGCCGUAAAACCCCAACUUCUGAAUGUUGACCUCGGAUCAGGUAGGAAUACCCGCUGAACUUAAGCAUAUCAAUAAGCGGAGGA
rnacentral:misc_RNA from 1 species